CAGCCGCCGCGGUAAUACGGAGGGCGCGAGCGUUGUCCGGAUUCACUGGGCGUAAAGCGGGUGUAGGCGGUCGGGUAAGUCGGACGUGAAAGCCCGGGGCUCAACCCCGGAAGGGCGUCCGAAACUGCUCGACUUGAGGGCGGGAGAGGGAGGUGGAAUUCCCGGUGUAGCGGUGAAAUGCGUGGAUAUCGGGAGGAACACCGGUGGCGAAGGCGGCCUCCUGGCCCGCUCCUGACGCUGAGACCCGAAAGCGUGGGGAGCAAACCGGAUUAGAUACCCGGGUAGCCCACGCCGUAAACGGUGGGCACUAGGUGUGGGGGGUUAAUCCCUCCGUGCCGAAGCUAACGCAUUAAGUGCCCCGCCUGGGGAGUACGGCCGCAAGGUUGAAACUUAAAGGAAUUGGCGGG
rnacentral:rRNA from 1 species